rnacentral:rRNA from 1 species
AGUUUGAUCCUGGCUCAGAUUGAACGCUGGCGGCACGCCUUACACAUGCAAGUCGAGCGGUCAAAAUGAGGGAGCUUGCUCCCGAAAGACGAGCGGCGGACGGGUGAGUAACGCGCGGGAACGCACCCUUUGGCGGGGGACAACCUUGGGAAACCAGGGCUAAUACCGCAUAAUCUCUACGGAGUAAAGCGGGGGAUCUUCGGACCUCGCGCCAUUGGAGCGGCCCGUGUCCGAUUAGUUUGACGGCGGGGUAACAGCCCACCGUGGCUACAAUCGGUAGCUGGUCUGAGAGGAUGAUCAGCCACACCGGGACUGAGACACGGCCCGGACUCCUACGGGAGGCAGCAGUGGGGAAUAUUGGACAAUGGGGGCAACCCUGAUCCAGCGAUGCCGCGUGUGUGGAGAAGGCCUUCGGGUUGUAAAGCACUUUCGCGGGGGAAGAAACUUCGCGCUCUAACAUAGCGCGGCACUGACGGUACCCCGAGAAGAAGCGCCGGCUAACUCCGUGCCAGCAGCCGCGGUAAUACGGAGGGCGCAAGCGUUAAUCGGAAUGACUGGGCGUAAAGCGUGCGCAGGCGGCCGCGGAAGUCGGAUGUGAAAGCCCCGGGCUC